rnacentral:sRNA from 1 species
UCCCGAAGUGAAAACGCUAUGGUCACCUU